rnacentral:rRNA from 1 species
AAACAUGCAAGUCGAGCGGGGAAGAUGUAGCUUGCUACAUUNCCUAGCGGCGGACGGGUGAGUAAUGCUUAGGAAUCUGCCUAUUAGUGGGGGACAACAUUCCGAAAGGAAUGCUAAUACCGCAUACGCCCUACGGGGGAAAGCAGGGGAUCUUCGGACCUUGCGCUAAUAGAUGAGCCUAAGUCAGAUUAGCUAGUUGGUGGGGUAAAGGCCUACCAAGGCGACGAUCUGUAGCGGGUCUGAGAGGAUGAUCCGCCACACUGGGACUGANACACGGCCCANACUCCUACGGGAGGCANCNGUGGGGAAUAUUGGACAAUGGGCGCAAGCCUGAUCCAGCCAUGCCGCGUGUGUGAAGAAGGCCUUUUGGUUGUAAAG